rnacentral:tRNA from 1 species
GCCCUUUUAACUCAACAGUAGAGUAAUGCCAUGGUAACGUGUAAGUCAUCGGUUCAAGUCUAAUAAAGGGCU